rnacentral:rRNA from 1 species
UACGAAGGGGGCUAGCGUUGCUCGGAAUUACUGGGCUUAAAGGGUGCGUAGGCUGCGCGGAAAGUUGGGUGUGAAAUCCCUCGGCUCAACCGAGGAACUGCGCCCAAAACUGUCGUGCUCGAGGAAGAUAGAGGUAAGCGGAACUUACGGUGGAGCGGUGAAAUGCGUUGAUAUCGUAAGGAACACCUGUGGCGAAAGCGGCUUACUGGGUCUUUUCUGACGCUGAUGCACGAAAGCUAGGGGAGCAAACGGG